rnacentral:snoRNA from 10 species
GGGAAUGAUGAUUGUCUCAGACUAGAGUCUCUGAUGCUGGACUUGAUGUCAAAAAUUAAGUUCUGACUC